rfam:Microbotryum lychnidis-dioicae p1A1 Lamole unplaced genomic scaffold supercont1.89, whole genome shotgun sequence.
GAAUUAAUUCACUUUAAUUCAGCCAAUUUAGACAUGCAUGUAUUAGUAAUAAUCAUGUGUGAAGCUCUAAAAUAAAGUAAAUUACUCUUGAAAAAGAAGAAAAUAGUUAACAUUUACGAAGGCUAAUGUUUAUGGUUAGCGAAAGCG